GUGAUUAAGUACCACUUGUCGGGUACAGCUGACACAUACCUCUUGUGUUUCUCAAGAAAGCGGUUUGUUUUGACUGAAAUGGAGUUGUUAAUACUUGUGUUUGUAAUCAAGAUGAGAAAGUCUGAGGAUGUAGAAUGACUCACUUAUUCCAGAACUGUCGGCAGGAAUAAAAGAAAGAGCAUAAGUUAUUGGAGAAUUCGGCACAGUCAUUUGACUGUAGCCAUGCUGGAGCACCGCCUUGAAGGGUUUUUAGUAGAAGAAAUCGACCCCAGGAAUUAUUCUUUGUAAGCAUAGUUCUUAUUCUAUCGUUUUUUUUUGCCGAACCACUAAGUUAUCGCAUUCUUUCCAUUAAGGAACGGUAUCUAAGAAUAUUUAAUUGUACACAAACAUGUAUACAUCGAAAGAGAAAAACGCAUGUGCGAGAGUGUACACACACACACACACACUUACAAACACGCUUACACACUCACAUGAAGAAAUGAAUUAAAUUCCCAUGCUAAACUAUAAAAGCUAUGAAAGACCUCUAAAGACUCCAGCAUCGGUUUUCAGGUGAUAGCAGGGGAACAAAUACACACACAUACCACACAGAUACACACACACGAUAAGCUUCUUUCAGUUUCCGUCUGCCAAAUCCACUCUCAAGGCUUUGAUCGGCUCGAGGCUAUAGUAGAAGACACUUACUCAAGGUGCCACGUAGUGGGACUGAACUUGGAACCAUGUGGUUGGAAAGCAAGAUUCUUACCACACGACCACGGUUUAUCUUUUAUUCGUUAUUUGUUUCAGUCUUUGGAUUGCAACCAGACUGAGGCACCUUAAGGGGUUUAGUCGAACAAAUCGACCCCGCAACGUUUUUAAAGUCUGGUAAUUAUUCCAUUGGUC